UGUUUUCAACCAUUUAACAAGGACAAUGAUUGUAUAAACGUGGAUGAAAAUUUAGUAGUCACUGUCAUAUCUCGCAUAGAAGAGUUCAAUGAAUUUACUUUACCAAA